GCAUAAUAAUUUGUUUUUUAAUUAGAAACUUGAAUGAAAGGAAAGACGAGGUUUUAGCUGUCUCUCGCUUAGAUUUAUAAAUUAACUUUCAGGUGAAGAGGCCUGAAUUUUUAUGAAAGACAAGAAGACCCUGUCGAGCUUCCCUAAAUUAAGAUUUGAGGUUGAUUGGGGCGAUUAGAAAGAUAAAUAUCCUUUCUCAUACUAAGAGUAACUCUUUUUGAAAAUCCGGGAUUUGCGAAUUAAGAUUAGCUACCGCAGGGAUAACAGGCUAAUUUCUUCUUAGAGUACAAAUUUACGAAGAAGUUUGGCACCUCGAUGUUGGCUUGGGGAACUAUUUUGAUGUAGAAGUUAAAAAAAGUGGUUUGUUCAACCGUUAAACCCCC
rnacentral:rRNA from 1 species